rnacentral:rRNA from 1 species
UACGAGGGGUGCAAGCGUUGCUCGGAAUCAUUGGGCGUAAAGCGCACGUAGGCGGUUCGUUAUGUCGGAUGUGAAAGCCCUUGGCUUAACCGAGGAAGUGCAUCCGAAACUGGCGAGCUAGAGUACUAAAGAGGAUCGCGGAAUUCCCGGUGUAGAGGUGAAAUUCGUAGAUAUCGGGAGGAACACCGGUGGCGAAGGCGGCGAUCUGGGUAGAUACUGACGCUGAGGUGCGAAAGCGUGGGGAGCAAACAGG